AGCGUUUUUCGCAGCGGCGGAGGUCGACCGCCGACUGCGGUGAUCGUCGAGUACAUCGACGACAAUCGGGAACGGUUCGGGGUCGACCCGAUCUGCCGCGUGCUCACCGAGCACGGCAUGGCGAUCGCCCCG
rfam:Gordonia malaquae NBRC 108250 DNA, contig: GM1087.